AGUGGCGGACGGGUGAGUAACGCGUGAGAAUCUGCCUUGGGGUCGGGGACAACCACUGGAAACGGUGGCUAAUACCGGAUAAGCCGAUUGGUGAAAGAUUUAUUGCCCGAAGAGGAGCUCGCGUCUGAUUAGCUAGUUGGUGAGGUAAGAGCUCACCAAGGCAGCGAUCAGUAGCUGGUCUGAGAGGACGAUCAGCCACACUGGGACUGAGACACGGCCCAGACUCCUACGGGAGGCAGCAGUGGGGAAUUUUCCGCAAUGGGCGAAAGCCUGACGGAGCAAGACCGCGUGAGGGAGGAAGGCUCUUGGGUUGUAAACCUCUUUUCUCAGGGAAGAAGCUCUGACGGUACCUGAGGAAUCAGCCUCGGCUAACUCCGUGCCAGCAGCCGCGGUAAUACGGAGGAGGCAAGCGUUAUCCGGAAUUAUUGGGCGUAAAGCGUCCGCAGGUGGCGAUUCAAGUCUGCUGUCAAAGCACGGGGCUUAACUCCGUAAAGGCAGUGGAAACUGAAUAGCUAGAGUGCCGUAGGGGUAGAGGGAAUUUCCGGUGUAGCGGUGAAAUGCGUAGAGAUCGGGAAGAACAUCGGUGGCGAAAGCGCUCUACUGGACGGCAACUGACACUCAGGGACGAAAGCUAGGGGAGCGAAUGGGAUUAGAUACCCC
rnacentral:rRNA from 1 species